rnacentral:rRNA from 1 species
GAUCCUGGCUCAGGAUGAACGCUGGCGGCGUGCUUAACACAUGCAAGUCGAACGAAGCACUUUUGCUGAGACCUUCGGGUGGAUUUAAAAGUUAGACUGAGUGGCGGACGGGUGAGUAACGCGUGGGUAACCUGCCUCACACAGGGGGAGUAACAGUUAGAAAUGACUGCUAAUACCGCAUAAGCGCACGGUCUCGCAUGGGACAGUGUGAAAAACUCCGGUGGUGUGAGAUGGACCCGCGU